rnacentral:rRNA from 1 species
GACGAACGCUGGCGGCGUGCCUAAUACAUGCAAGUGGAGCGCUGAAGGUUGGUACUUGUACCGACUGGAUGAGCAGCGAACGGGUGAGUAACGCGUGGGGAAUCUGCCUUUGAGCGGGGGACAACAUUUGGAAACGAAUGCUAAUACCGCAUAAAAACUUUAAACACAAGUUUUAAGUUUGAAAGAUGCAAUUGCAUCACUCAAAGAUGAUCCCGCGUUGUAUUAGCUAGUUGGUGAGGUAAAGGCUCACCAAGGCGAUGAUACAUAGCCGACCUGAGAGGGUGAUCGGCCACAUUGGGACUGGGACACGGCCCAAACUCCUACGGGAGGCAGCAGUAGGGAAUCUUCGGCAAUGGACGAAAGUCUGACCGAGCAACGCCGCGUGAGUGAAGAAGGUUUUCGGAUCGUAAAACUCUGUUGGUAGAGAAGAACGUUGGUGAGAGUGGAAAGCUCAUCAAGUGACGGUAACUACCCAGAAAGGGACGGCUAACUACGUG